UGGAAAGUUCAUUGUUCGGCACCAUGGAUCUCCAGGUGGGUCACGGUUAGAAAUACACCAACCUGGAGGACUCCAUGCUGUUGAGCUGUUCACGA
rnacentral:pre_miRNA from 1 species